UACGUAGGGUGCAAGCGUUGUCCGGAAUUAUUGGGCGUAAAGAGCUCGUAGGCGGUCUGUCGCGUCGGCUGUGAAAUCCCGGGGCUCAACCCCGGGCCUGCAGUCGAUACGGGCAGACUAGAGUGCGGUAGGGGAGACUGGAAUUUACGGUGUAGCGGUGAAAUGCGUAGAUAUCGUAAGGAAGACCAGUGGCGAAGGCGGGUCUCUGGACAGUUCCUGACGCUGAGGCACGAAGGCCAGGGGAGCAAACGGG
rnacentral:rRNA from 1 species